rnacentral:rRNA from 1 species
GACGAACGCUGGCGGCGUGCUUAACACAUGCAAGUCGAACGGUGAAGCGCCUUCCUUUUUGGUGGGUGUGGAUGAGUGGCGAACGGGUGAGUAACACGUGAGUAACCUGCCCCCUUCUUCUGGAUAACCGCAUGAAAGUGUGGCUAAUACGGGAUAUUCUGGGUCUGUCGCAUGAUGGGUCUGGGAAAGAUAUUGUUUCGGUGGGGGAUGGGCUCGCGGCCUAUCAGCUUGUUGGUGGGGUGAUGGCCUACCAAGGCGGUGACGGGUAGCCGGCCUGAGAGGGUGGACGGUCACACUGGGACUGAGACACGGCCCAGACUCCUACGGGAGGCAGCAAUGGGGAAUAUUGCACAAUGGGCGCAAGCCUGAUGCAGCGACGCCGCGUGAGGGAUGGAGGCCUUCGGGUUGUGAACCUCUUUCGCCAGUGAAGCAGGCCUGCCUCGUUUGUGGGUGGGUUGACGGUAGCUGGAUAAGAAGCGCCGGCUAACUACGUG